GCUCCCCCCUCCCCGCGCAGUCAAGCGCCAACGAUCAUUUCAAAUGUCUGCGUAGAUUGUAGUGUGUGCCACCCAGCUAAUAAUCUUUGCUAGUAAAAACAAUCGUAAAAAGGGGAAUCGCCUAUCUCAUUACCAUGUGAUCUCUUAAACGUGACGUUAGCAGUUGGGAAUGCGGAUGAUUCCAAAGCGUUGCGUUGUACCAAUUUACACCUAUUGGUAACCAGCUUGGUAGUACAGUACUAUCCACGUACAUGAUGCACUUUGUAGUAUAAAUUCACAGCACAGCAAAACUAUCAUGUAUAAUCCUAGUGAUAGGGAUCAUCUUUGGCUGCCCACAUCGGUUGUUUCCGUUAAAAAGCUGACUGCUGAAUUCUGUAUAGCGAACGGCACGGCGGAGUUCAAGAAUUAAAAUGCUUUGGCAAAGAAAGAAGUUGACACGAAAGAUGCUGCAUAUCAUAAUUGGGAUAUUAUUCUUGGUUUAUGUCAUCAUUCCACUUAUGGUACUGAUAUUUCCUAGCAUUGUUGCCUUCAUGGUCUAUGCAAAUGCCUUCUCAUCAUUCAACUUGAGGAAACCUAGUGAGGCAGGACUGAGAGCAGCUAAACAAAUAGAUCUCAGAGUGGACUCUGGGGACACUCUUGGAGUCUGGCAUAUUCUACCAGAGUCUGCAGCAGAUAAGCCUGUUAUAGAAGAUCAGUUCAGCUCUUAUCUGGCUGAUGGCCUUCCAAUUUUUAUCUAUCUCCAUGGCAAAGGUGGCACAAGAGCCCAAAAGACACGAGUGGCAACGUAUGUAGUCAUUCAGGGACAGAACUGUCAUAUCAUAACUUUUGACUAUAGAGGUUAUGCAGACUCAACAGGAGAAGCUAGUGAAAAGAACAUGGUUGAAGACUCAGUUGCUGUGUUUUACUGGGUUAAAGCGCACAGUGGAUCAUCCCCUAUUUUUCUUUGGGGCCACUCGCUGGGCAGUGGAAUUGCUGUUCAAGUUGCAAGAUGUCUUUCACCUUAUGAAGAGUCGCUAGCAGGAGUUGUUCUUGAAAGCAGCUUCAAUAAUCUUCAUGAAGUGCUGGAUCAUUACCGCCUUACAGCACCAUACCGCCCAUUUCCUUUACUAAUGAAAAUUUUUCACCAUGCCCUGAAGCGAAACGAUAUCCAGUUCAGUUCUGACCAACAGUUUAGAGACAUGAGUAACAACACAGUGUUUUGCAGUAUCAUUCAUGUGGAAUGUCCAAUUCUAAUGUUACAUGCUGAAGAUGAUGAGAUUAUCCCACUUAGUCUUGCACGAAAGUUAUAUAGCAUAGCUGCUGAAACAAGAUCUGUAAAUGGGUCCAAGGUACUGCUUCAUGAGUUUCCUGCUAAAGGAUAUGGCCACAACUUCCUUCACCAUGCACCAGACUUCGGAGGUGUGGUCAGGUGAGGAGCAGAACAAAGGGAUCCAUCUGACUUGUGGCUUUGAUGAGAAAGCGAUAGAGAUCAACAGAACAAAGAAAACAUGUGAUGCUCUAAAGUUCUUUUCACCAAGAGCAGUUUAUAAGUGAGUACGAUGAAGUUGAUGAAGCAGGACAAACAUAAUAAUAAUAAUCACCACUGGGGACUAAGGAGAUGGAUUCAAUAUGUUGGAGUACUAGUUCUGAACAACUGUCAGCUUGGUUUGCAACAAGUCAUGUGUGCCAAGGCAUCAGCGUGGAUUUUAUGCCUGCAUACAUAUCAGAGCAAAAUCAUGAAAGAACAAUACAGGUAACAGCAGCUGCAGUGUUGACCGUGACCAAGUGAGCACGCAAAGUUUGUGAUAUUUAUAUUAAGGCCCUCAGUCUUUUUCUGGGAUUGAUAAGAGCUCAUUUUUAAGCUUUUUUAAAGAUAAAAGUAAUGACUAAAUGUAAAAAAAAAAUUGAAAAAAUAAAUAAUUCUAUAUA
rnacentral:misc_RNA from 1 species